UAUGGCCAUACCACCCUGAACACUCCUGAUCUCAUGUGAUCUCAGCAGCUAAGCAGGGUUAGUACUUGGAUAGGAGAAACUGAAGUGGGGGCCAUCU
rnacentral:rRNA from 1 species